UAGGGGGCGAGCGUUAUCCGGAUUUACUGGGUGUAAAGGGAGCGUAGACGGCAUGGCAAGUCUGAAGUGAAAGCCCGUGGCUCAACCGCGGAACGGCUUUGGAAACUGUCAGGCUGGAGUACUGGAGAGGCAAGCGGAAUUCCUAGUGUAGCGGUGAAAUGCGUAGAUAUUAGGAGGAACACCAGUGGCGAAGGCGGCUUGCUGGACAGAAACUGACGUUGAGGCUCGAAAGCGUGGGGAGCAAA
rnacentral:rRNA from 1 species